CCCCCGAUAGCUCAGUUGGAAGAGCGUGGGACUGUAAUUGGAAAACAUGGCAUCCCGAGGUCAUUGGUUCGAUCCCGAUUUGGGGGA